rnacentral:rRNA from 1 species
UGGGGAAUCUUGCACAAUGGGCGAAAGCCUGAUGCAGCAACGCCGCGUGCGGGAAGAAGGCCUUAGGGUUGUAAACCGCUUUCAGCAGGGAAGAAAAUGACGGUACCUGUAGAAGAAGGUGCGGCCAACUACGUGCCAGCAGCCGCGGUGACACGUAGGCACCAAGCGUUGUCCGGAUUUAUUGGGCGUAAAGAGCUCGUAGGCGGUUCGGUAAGUCGGGUGUGAAAACUCUGGGCUCAACCCAGAGCCGCCACUCGAUACUGCUGUGACUCGAGUGCGGUAGGGGAGCGGGGAAUUCCUGGUGUAGCGGUGAAAUGCGCAGAUAUCAGGAGGAACACCAGUGGCGAAGGCGCCGCUCUGGGCCGUGACUGACGCUGAGGAGCGAAAGCGUGGGUAGCAAACAGGAUUAGAUACCCUGGUAGUCCACGCCGUAAACGUUGGGACACGUAGGUGUAGGGUCUCGAACCAACGAGAUCCGCGCCGUCGCUAACGCAUUAAC